AUCGCUUCUCGGCCUUUUGGCUAAGAUCAAGUGUAGGAUUAUGAUUUUUCUUGUCCCUUGAAGAUUUGACCUUCU